UAUGUAGGGUGCGAGCGUUGUCCGGAAUUAUUGGGCGUAAAGAGCUCGUAGGCGGUCUGUCGCGUCGAUCGUGAAAACUUGGGGCUUAACCCUGAGCUUGCGGUCGAUACGGGCAUGACUGGAGUUCGGCAGGGGAGACUGGAAUUCCUGGUGUAGCGGUGAAAUGCGCAGAUAUCUGAAGGAACAUCAGUGGCGAAAGCGACUUCCUGGACGAAUACUGACGCUCAUGUGCGAAAGCGUGGGGAGCAAACAGG
rnacentral:rRNA from 1 species